rnacentral:rRNA from 1 species
UUCAUGGAGAGUUUGAUCCUGGCUCAGGACGAACGCUGGCGGCGUGCUUAACACAUGCAAGUCGAACGAUGAAGCCAGCUUGCUGGUGGAUUAGUGGCGAACGGGUGAGUAACACGUGGGUGAUCUGCCCCAAACUUUGGGAUAAGCCUGGGAAACUGGGUCUAAUACCGAAUAUGACCGAUACUCGCAUGGGUGUUGGUGGAAAGCUCCGGCGGUUUGGGAUGGGCCCGCGGCCUAUCAGCUUGUUGGUGGGGUAAUGGCCUACCAAGGCGACGACGGGUAGCCGGCCUGAGAGGGCGACCGGCCACACUGGGACUGAGACACGGCCCAGACUCCUACGGGAGGCAGCAGUGGG